UGCCUUACAAGCAGGUGGUCACAGGUUCGAAUCCUGUACCGC
rnacentral:tRNA from 1 species